AUUGAACGCUGGCGGCAGGCCUAACACAUGCAAGUCGAGCGGAUGAAGGGAGCUUGCUCCUGGAUUCAGCGGCGGACGGGUGAGUAAUGCCUAGGAAUCUGCCUUGUAGUGGGGGAUAACGUCCGGAAACGGGCGCUAAUACCGCACACGACCUGAGGGAGAAAGUGGGGGAUCUUCGGACCUAACGCUACCAGAUGAUCCUAGGUCGGAUUAGCUAGUUGGUGUGGUAAAGGCCUACCAAGGCGACGAUCCGUAACUGGUCUGAGAGGAUGAUCAGUCACACUGGAACUGAGACACGGUCCAGACUCCUACGGGAGGCAGCAGUGGGGAAUAUUGGACAAUGGGCGAAAGCCUGAUCCAGCCAUGCCGCGUGUGUGAAGAAGGUCUUCGGAUUGUAAAGCACUUUAAGUUGGGAGGAAGGGCAGUAAGUGAAUACAUUGCUGUUUUGACGUUACCAACAGAAUAAGCACCGGCUAACUUCGUG
rnacentral:rRNA from 1 species